rnacentral:tmRNA from 1 species
GGGAUCAGGAAAAUCCUUACUUGGUACAUAUAUGAAGAGCUAUAAGGACCCUGCCACCCACGACAGCAUUCUUCUUCCCACGUAUAACCUAGAAGCUAUAGUUAACUAUAUUCUGGAACAUUAUGGACACGAAACUGCUGGCCAAGAAAUUAAUUGGGAGUAGUUUAAGGGCAGAUAUUGAAAAAAGAGCAGCAGUGUCUCUUACUGACAGAUUUGGAAAAUCCCACAGUCUUACUCAGUUUCAGUAUACUAAGGCCAAAAGGGCGGAGCGUACUGCUUCUAGUGCCAGGGAACAUUGUCAUAGAAUAGAAAAUAUGGUCAGUACAAAAAGAGAGUUGAGUGAUUGCGUAAGUGAGCUGACUCAUCUUAAAGAGAUAUGCCAAAACUUUUCAGUGGAAGAUGCUGAAAGGCUAAUCGAGGAGACCACGGUUUUAAAAGAGGAGUUGGAAGACACUGUUAACACAGUAUCCGCUGCUCUGCAAAGAGAGGAAUCUCUGUCUGCAGACUCCGAGCAAGAGGAGAGUGAUAUUACUUGUUGGAGGCUCGAUGGAUUACCGACAGUUACCGCGCGUAUUGGGUGAGGAUGGAGAGGACACUGCGGCCUCUUCCUGGAAUACAUUUCUACUUAUGCAAAGUAUAGAGGGGGCUCUAGUUAUUCCUUAUGAAAAAUUUCCAACAAUGGUGUCAUAUAUGAUGUAUGCAGCAAACCAUGUUUCCACUGAAGAUAUGGAUGGGAAGCCAUCGUUUAUUGCACCCCCUAUUUGGGAAAGAUGCUUCCACACUAAAUUCACGCCAGGGGACACCCUUGGAGAAGGUGGCUUUGGGCGGGUUUCUACCAUGGCAUCAGAUGACACGCUCUGCAUAAAAUAUAUCCCAAAAUUGACAGCACUGUACAAGGAGGCUGUGCUGAUGGAUAUCAUUCACCUUACCAGUCUGUUCAAGCCCCAUGGUGCGUCCAAUAAGGUUCUACAGAUGAUGUUUGCGUGUGUAGAAUGCCAAUGCAUCGUGCUUCCAAAAAUGAGAUGUUCUUUGGAUACCUACAGAGAGUGGUCUCCAAACAGUGUUGCUGACACCUUAAGUGGCUUCAGAGGGUUAAUUGAUGGACUGUUGUAUCUAAACUUUACAUGUGGUAUAACACACUGCGAUGUUAGCCCUUCCAAUAUCCUUAUUGGGGCAGGAGGACUUUCAGACAUGGUAUUAUCUGACCUUGGAAUUGCAACAAUUAUAUGUGCGCCCGGCAUGCCUGGAGAAAUACCAAUAUUUUCAAAAAUGCUUGGAAGAGUCACUAACCUAUAUUCAUCAUCAUGUCCCAUGUUUUUUGCCAAAAGAGACUAUAGACCUUCCACCUGCCUGUUUUUGUGUUAUAAGGCCAUAAAGGAGCAAAAAGCUGCAGAAUCCAUUCCAAUGUACUGGAGGACACCACAGGAGGGACUAAGAUUGGACUUGUGCUGUCUUUAUUAUUCCUUUCAGGACUGUCUACUUUGCAUGGCCGGACUUCAAUACAGGGGGCUGGACUUUCUCAAGGUUUCUCCGCCCCCUCCUGACAGGCCUGGGAAAUAUUUAGCUUACAUGAUGCAAAGAACUGUUGUGACUCAGUUCAUAUGUGGAGUCUGGGGCUUGUCUGUUGAAACAGGCUUAGACAUCGACGGAGGAAGCAGCAACAUCCACAUUCCAAGAACUCAUCGGUCAUAUUUUAAAGCUGUGGCAGAAAAGGCUCUGUGUUUGGUACGGCAGCAGUUCACUCCAGAGAAAAGGGUAACAAUUUUAUCUGAAAGUGUUCAAGCUUUCGUUGUGCCUUUUCUAAGAUUGGACUCCUUUAAUCACUGCCAUGGAAGGGUCGAUUAUUCUGGAUUUUUUUGAAAAGGAUGAUUUGUUGGAAGUUCUGGGAAACAUGGCCCGGGAAAAUCAACUAGAAUCACUGGCAACUCUUAAUUUUUCUGCAUUUAUAAGAUCACCCCAAGUUCAAGAGCUCCUGGCAACAUCAAAGACUUCUGUACGUAUUUCUGAUAUGAGGUUGACGUACUAUUACUUUCUGUUUCUCAGACUUAAUGAAUAUAUUGGGAAUACUGCCAUAAUGGGCGUUUUUAAGGACAUGAUGCACCUGACAGACAACAGUGAGGUGUCUGCCGUGUAUGCUGCGUGUCGGGACGUGACCCCAGAUAUAAAGUAUGCAGUGUGCCAGAGAAUAGAAGCCCUGACUAGGGGACAGCAGGAUAAUGAACUAUGGGACAUUCUGCGUGACGGCAUGAUCUCAUCAUCUAAAUUUCAGUGGGCUGUAAAACAACAUAGCAUCAACAAGAAACUGUUUAAUCCACAGCCUAUAAAGGUUAAUCACUAUUUUGCUGGUCCUCUAGCCUUUGGGAUAAGAUGUGAACAAACUGUUAAAAAAAUUUUGAGUGAGCUUAUUCAUCCAAACUUGCCAAGAUUUCAUGAUUGUGGAUUUUUGCCCAGUGCAAUUGAUGGAAUUUUUGGAGUUUCCCUGGACACUGCUUUCAAUGUGUUUACAGAUAGCAGCGGACUUGUGCACUUUGAACCAGAUAGUAUUGUGUAUGAAAUAAAGUCCAGAUAUAAGUACCAGUUUUCAAAAUCUGAAUUUGAUGGUCUGGCCAAGAAAUAUUUGGAUCUCUACAAAAACCCCUGUGAGGCAACUUUUAUCAAGUUCAUAAACUGUAUUUCAAGACCCGCUGUUGAAUAUGUUCCACAUGGAAAACUUCCCUCAGAAAGUGACUAUCUAAUCACCCACUCCAUGAACUGGAAAACCAGCAACAAGAGAAAGCGCAAAAUCACUGAUAGUCAUAUCUGUCUUAAAAAAUGUCUACUUCACAACAUGUAUCAACAAUCAACAGUUUAUAUCUUGUCAGACCCCUCUGAGACUUCUGGAAAAAUCACCAUUAAGGCAUCUUUUCCCAUAGAUGUAUUUGUGAAUCCUGCACACAACUACUUUUACCAGGUGGCGCUCCAAAAUAUGGUUGUUCAAGAUUACAUUGAAUUUGGUCAGGGUGUAUAUAAAAGACUAGGCCAUCAGAAGAAUUUCAUAGCAUCUGGAUUUUUCAGAAAGAGACACUUUUCUGAUCCUGCUGUUUGCUCCAUUGGUAAUUGUGGAAAGUUGGAUACUACAGACGAGAUACCAGUGGCGCUCAUCAUCACUCCUGUUAGGAUUCCAUCUACUGUGCUGCACGAGUACCUCAAGAAAGCAAUUGAUUUUUGGAAUCAGUGUGCUGAGGCAAACUUUGACCAUAUCCCAUGGGGGCAGCUUUCGGAUGUUGCAAGAAAACCCAUAACCCCCUAAAAGAUGUAAGGGGACAACUCAUUGACCUGACAAAGGACUUUGAACUAAUUUCUGAAAACACUGGACUUUUGGUUGAAGACCCCUCUGUUGGUGAGGGGCAUUUAGAGCUUAAACCCAAACCUUAUGGGUCAGACACUGACAGUGAUACAGACAUUGAAUAUGAACGAGGCAAACACGCUUAAUUUGCUUUAAUUACUUUAAUAAAAUGUUUAUAGUUCAUCUUC